rnacentral:rRNA from 1 species
GGUGAACGCUGGCGGCGUGCCUAAUACAUGCAAGUCGAGCGAACGGACGAGAAGCUUGCUUCUCUGAUGUUAGCGGCGGACGGGUGAGUAACACGUGGAUAACCUACCUAUAAGACUGGGAUAACUUCGGGAAACCGGAGCUAAUACCGGAUAAUAUUUUGAACCGCAUGGUUCAAAAGUGAAAGACGGUCUUGCUGUCACUUAUAGAUGGAUCCGCGCUGCAUUAGCUAGUUGGUAAGGUAACGGCUUACCAAGGCAACGAUGCAUAGCCGACCUGAGAGGGUGAUCGGCCACACUGGAACUGAGAUACGGUCCAGACUCCUACGGGAGGCAGCAGUAGGGAAUCUUCCGCAAUGGGCGAAAGCCUGACGGAGCAACGCCGCGUGAGUGAUGAAGGUCUUCGGAUCGUAAAACUCUGUUAUUAGGGAAGAACAUAUGUGUAAGUAACUGUGCACAUCUUGACGGUACCUAAUCAGAAAGCCACGGCUAACUACGUG